ACUCCUGCGGGAGGCAGCAGUGGGGAAUAUUGCACAAUGGGCGCAAGCCUGAUGCAGCCAUGCCGCGUGUAUGAAGAAGGCCUUCGGGUUGUAAAGUACUUUCAGCGGGGAGGAAGGCAAUACGGUUAAUAACCGUGUUGAUUGACGUUACCCGCAGAAGAAGCACCGGCUAACUCCGUGCCAGCAGCCGCGGUAAUACGGAGGGUGCAAGCGUUAAUCGGAAUUACUGGGCGUAAAGCGCACGCAGGCGGUCUGUCAAGUCGGAUGUGAAAUCCCCGGGCUCAACCUGGGAACUGCAUUCGAAACUGGCAGGCUUGAGUCUUGUAGAGGGGGGUAGAAUUCCAGGUGUAGCGGUGAAAUGCGUAGAGAUCUGGAGGAAUACCGGUGGCGAAGGCGGCCCCCUGGACAAAGACUGACGCUCAGGUGCGAAAGCGUGGGGAGCAAACAGGAUUAGAAACCCCAGUAGUCCCAUGA
rnacentral:rRNA from 1 species